ensembl:ncRNA
UAUUGCACUUUUCACAGCCCGA